rnacentral:sRNA from 1 species
AUGGGAUCAGUUUUACUACCAGAUGUUAGCGGUAUACAGAAUUUCGACAUUUCUGACUCGACAGGACUGUCUGCACGUUGGAAACGAUGGCUUCGGGCGUUUCAACUAUUUGCCGCAGGAAAAGGGGUUACAGACGUAGAUCAAAAAUAUGCAUUAUUAUUGCACACAGCCGGAAUGAAUGUUCAAGACAUUUUCUUCACAUUGCCGGAAGGUGCCGGAGAAGGUGCAUAUGAGAAGGCGGUGAGUGCGCUAGAUGCUUAUUUCACACCACUUUCAAAUGCCCCUUAUGAACGAUCAAUUUUUCGAUCUAUGAUUCAGUCUUCUUCAGAGACAAUUGAACAAUAUAUAACGCGUCUUCGACAGAGAGCUGAUACAUGUGAUUUUGGCAAUCAAAAUGCAAUUGAUGAAAGAAUACGAGAUCAAAUUAUUGAUAAAUGUUUAAGUCACCAUCUCAGACGUAAAUUACUUGAGAAAGGUAGGACACUUACUUUAGCAAAUGUUAGAAGUAUUGCUAAAGCUAUGGAAGAUUCAGAACGACAAGCUAAAUCAAUUGAAGGUCAAGGUCAAGUCAACAUGAUACAGUCAAAAGGUAAACAGUAUGGAAAGAACAGUUUUAAUUCUGGUAGCAAAAGUUUUAAUUCUGGUAAUAAGUCUACUUGUACAGCAACUUGCUACAGUUGUGGACGUGAAGGUCACAUUAGGACUGACCCAAGCUGUCCAGCUCGGGGGAAGAAAUGCAGGAAGUGUAAAAUUGUUGGUCAUUUUGAUAAAGUUUGUAAAACUAAGGAUAAGUCAAAACACGGAAAGAUUCGUCAAGUUGUUGAACAACCACAGAAUAACACGGAUGAUGAGGAAUAUGUAUUUAGCAUGAUCGGUGUAAAUCAGAUAAAUUCUGUGUGUGAAAAUAUUGUUGUCAAUAUAGGGAAUGUGAAUUUGAAAAUGAUAAUUGAUUCUGGAGCAUCAUGUAACAUCAUGGGAAUAAAUUUAUGGAAUUAUUUAAAAGAUAAUCGUGUGAAAUGUGUUUCGUCCAAGUCUACAAAGAGUUUAUUCGCAUAUGGUAGUGAGGAACCAUUGAAAAUCGCUGGAAUAUUUACAGCUACUGUACAAUGUAACAAUAGAACUUUAAAGGAUAUUGAAUUUGUUGUUAUUGAAGGCAAAGGUCAGGCUUUGUUAAGUCGUAAUACAGCAGAACAGUUAGGUGUGCUGCAGCUUGUUCACAGUGUUAGUGAACCUGGAACAAUUAAGGACAAGUAUCCAGAAUGUUUUACAGGAGUUGGUAAAUUGAAAUCAUUUCAGUUACAGAUACCUAUCGACCCAGAUGUUGAACCCGUUAUUCAGCCUAUGAGGAGGGUACCGUUUAAUCUGCGCGAUAAACUUGGCAAGAAGUUAGAUGAACUUUUAGAUUUAGAUAUAAUUGAACAUGUCAAUGAACCUAGUCAAUGGGUUUCUCCAGUAGUAGUCGUGCCAAAACGUUCAGGUGAUGACAUCAGACUAUGUGUUGACAUGCGCCAGGCUAAUACAGCUGUGAAACGAGUACGACAUCCGAUUCCAACAAUAGAUGAACUAUUGCAAGAUAUGAACUCUAGUAAAGUGUUUAGUAAGCUUGAUGUAACUUGGGCCUAUCACCAAAUUGAGUUAAAACCAGAGUCUAGGGAAAUAACUACUUUUGUAACUCAUAAAGGGUUGUUUAGGUAUAAGCGCCUUAUGUUUGGUAUUAGUUGUGCCCCUGAAUUAUAUCAAAAUAUCAUGCAACAAGUCCUUCAGGGCUGUGAGGGUGUUCAUAACAUUAUGGAUGAUAUUAUUGUACAUGCUAGUAACCAGGUUGAACAUGAUAAAUGUCUUGAAAAUGUUGUUAGGGUACUGCGAGACAAAGGUAUUACUUUAAACAAUGAUAAAUGUGAAUUUAAUAUGUCCAAAGUAGUGUUUCAUGGGUCAUGUUUUGUCUGGUCGGGGUAUUGGGCCAGCAGAUGUCAAAGUCAAAGCUGUCGUUGAAGCACGUGAGCCAAGAACUUCAGCAGAAGUUCGUAGUUUCUUAGGUCUUGUUAAUUAUAGUGCUAGAUUUAUUUCUGACUUAGCUACUAUUUCAGCUCCGCUGCGUGCACUUACUCGUAAAGAUGCAACGUUCACAUGGGGUAAAGAUGAACAAAGGUCGUUCGAUGAGCUAAAACGUCGUCUUGCCAAUGCGGAAACUUUAGGUUAUUAUGACAAGUCGGCACUGACUAAGGUAAUCGCAGAUGCUAGUCCAGUUGGACUCGGAGCCGUGCUCAUACAAGAACAAAACGGUGAGAUGCGCAUUAUUUCUUACGCGAGUAGGAGUUUAAGCGAUACGGAACGCAGAUAUUCGCAGACCGAAAAGGAGGCUCUAGCCUUGGUAUGGGCGUGUGAAAGGUUUCAUGUUUAUAUCUAUGGAAGCCAGUUCGAGCUCUUAACGGAUCAUAAACCGCUUGAGUGUAUUUACUCUACAAAGUCGAAAGUAUGUGCUCGAAUUGAGCGCUGGGUUCUCCGUAUGCAACCAUAUACAUAUACUGUACGGUAUAUUCCCGGACCGAAAAAUAUAGCUGACUCGCUAUCACGUUUGAUCAAAGAAGGGAAAACACGUGACAAUCGGGAAAAUGUAACUGAGGAAUACGUUAAAUUUGUAGCUCAAGAAUCAACACCGGUUGCGAUGACAACACGCGAAAUCGAAAGAGCUUCCGAGAAUGAUCCUGAAUUAAAGGCUGUCCGAGAAUGUCUUGUUCACAGUCAGUGGCACCGUAUCGAGUUCAAAGAAUAUCUACCGAUUCGAAGUGAACUAUGCGCUAUUGGUCAAUUAGUACUUCGGGGUACUCGUAUCGUGAUACCUAUUAGUUUACGGGAACAGGUACUUCAGCUUGCUCAUGAAGGUCACCCUGGCAUUGUUGUCAUGAAAACGCGUUUACGAAGUAAGGUCUGGUGGCCAGGGAUAGACAAAAGUAUUGAGAAGUUUUGUCGAAGCUGUUACGGUUGUCAAUUGGUUAGUCAACCUAGUAAACCCGAACCGUUAAAGCGUACAGAGUUGCCCUCUGCCCCGUGGCAACAUUUAGCUGCUGAUCUAUUAGGACCGUUACCGAGCAAUCAUUAUAUGUUUGUAUUAGUUGAUUAUUAUAGCCGCUAUUUUGAAGUCGCUGUUACUAAGAAUAUUUCGUCGGAAAAUAUUACGUCGUUGAUUUCAAAAUUUUGCUUGACUCAUGGAUUGCCGUUAUCAAUUCACACCGAUAAUGGACCCCAGUUUGUUAGUCAACAUUUUAAGAACUUUAUGUCCGAACAUGGUAUAGUCCAUCAUAGAACAACUCCGUUAUGGCCACAGGCUAACGGCGAAGUAGAGCGCCAAAAUCGUUCGAUAAUGAAGCGUGUCAAAAUUGCGCAAGCCGAAGGUCGCGACUGGAAAUUAGAAUUGAAUAAAUUUUUAAUUAUGUACCGUAGUACUGCUCAUUCUACAACAGGAGUAAGUCCGUCCGAAUUACUUUUUGGUCGAAAAAUCAGAACAAAGUUACCGGAGUUAAUUGAUUAUAAUAUUAAUGAUUUUGAAGUACGCGACCGAGACGCCGAACAAAAGGAAAAAGGAAAAAUAUAUGCGGAUAAGCGUCGUGGUGCGUGCGAGAGUGAUAUUCGUGUCUCCGAUCAAGUUCUAGUCAGGCAAGACCGUGGAAAUAAAAUGUCUACACCUUUUGUUCCAUCCCCUUUUAAAGUGGUUGAGAAAAUUGGUAAUAGUGUAUUGGUUGAAUCUGACCAAGGUGUUCAAUACAGGAGAAAUGUGACACAUUUAAAGAAAUUUAUUGAGAGAGAAAAUAAUGAUUUAUCUUGCUCACAAUCUGAUGCAAACAAAAAUGUAGUUAAUACAGAGUCUGAAAUUAUUUCUAGUCACAAAGAUGAUUUUGAGAAUUUAAAUGAAUCUAGUAAUUUUGAUGAAAAUAAGUGUUUAAGUUUCUAG